GGUCUCGUGGCCCAAUGGCAAGGCGUCUGACUACGACUCGACCAUCUACAAAAUGGCGGGCAAUCAGGAGAUUGUCGGUUCGAUCCCGGCCGAGAUCA